rnacentral:rRNA from 1 species
AACGAACGCUGGCGGCAGGCUUAACACAUGCAAGUCGAACGCGUGUAGCAAUACACGAGUGGCGCACGGGUGAGUAACGCGUGGAUAUCUGCCUUUUGGUUCGGAAUAACCCCGGGAAACUGGGGCUAAUACCGGAUGGUUCCUACGGGAUAAAGAUUUAUCGCCAAAAGAUGAGUCCGCGUACGAUUAGCUAGUUGGUGAGGUAAUGGCUCACCAAGGCGACGAUCGUUAGCUGGUCUGAGAGGACGAUCAGCCACACUGGGACUGAGACACGGCCCAGACUCCUACGGGAGGCAGCAGUGGGGAAUAUUGGACAAUGGGGGGCAACCCUGAUCCAGCCAUGCCGCGUGAGUGAUGAAGGCCUUCGGGUUGUAAAGCUCUUUUGGCGGGGACGAUGAUGACGGUACCGCAGAUAAGCCCCGGCUAACUUCGUGCCAGCAGCCGCGGUAAU